UACAGAGGGGGCAAGCGUUGUUCGGAAUUACUGGGCGUAAAGGGCGCGUAGGCGGCCUUCUAAGUCGAACGUGAAAUCCCCGGGCUCAACCCGGGAACUGCGUCCGAUACUGGAAGGCUUGAAUCCGGGAGAGGGAUGCGGAAUUCCAGGUGUAGCGGUGAAAUGCGUAGAUAUCUGGAGGAACACCGGUGGCGAAGGCGGCAUCCUGGACCGAGAUUGACGCUGAUGCGCGAAAGCCAGGGGAGCAAACGGG
rnacentral:rRNA from 1 species